rnacentral:rRNA from 1 species
UACAGAGGUCCCAAGCGUUGUUCGGAUUCACUGGGCGUAAAGUGUGCGCAGGUGGCCGCGCAAGUCGAGUGUGAAAUCCCCGGGCUUAACUUGGGAAUUGCGCUCGAAACUACGUGGCUCGAGUGUGGCAGAGGGGGGUGGAAUUCCACGUGUAGCGGUGAAAUGCGUAGAGAUGUGGAGGAACACCAAUGGCGAAGGCAGCCCCCUGGGCCAACACUGACGCUCAUGCACGAAAGCGUGGGGAGCAAACAGG